CAGUCGCCGCGGUAAUACGGAGGAUCCAAGCGUUAUCCGGAAUCAUUGGGUUUAAAGGGUCCGUAGGCGGUCUUGUAAGUCAGUGGUGAAAGCCCAUCGCUCAACGGUGGAACGGCCAUUGAUACUGCAGGACUUGAAUUAUUGGGAAGUAACUAGAAUAUGUAGUGUAGCGGUGAAAUGCUUAGAGAUUACAUGGAAUACCAAUUGCGAAGGCAGGUUACUACCAAUUGAUUGACGCUGAUGGACGAAAGCGUGGGUAGCGUACAGGAUUAGAUACCCCCGUAGUCCCUGUCUCUUAUAC
rnacentral:rRNA from 1 species